rnacentral:rRNA from 1 species
AGAGUUUGAUCAUGGCUCAGAACGAACGCUGGCGGCAUGGCUAAAACAUGCAAGUCGCACGCGAAAGUUCCCUUCGGGGAGCGAGUAGAGUGGCGAAAGGGCGAGGAAUGCAUGGGUAACGUACCCUAGGCACGGGGAUAGCUUCGAGAAAUCGAAGGUAAUACCCGAUGAGACCACAGCGUCACAAGGCGCAGCGGUCAAAGGGUGGGGACUCCUUCGGGAGCCUGCCGGCCUGGGAGCGGCCCAUGUCCCAUCAGCUAGUUGGCGGGGUAACGGCCCACCAAGGCGAUGACGGGUAGCGGGACUGAGAGGUUGGUCCGCCGCAUUGGGACUGAGACACUGCCCAGACUCCUACGGGAGGCUGCAGUAACGAAUAUUGGACAAUGAGCGCAAGCUUGAUCCAGCAAUGCCGCGUGUGGGAAGAAGCCUUUCGGGGUGUAAACCACUGUCAGGGAUUACCAAGCGAUUGGGGUUAAUAGCCCCUUGAGUUGAGGAGUCCCGAAGGAAGCCACGGCUAACUUCGUGCCAGCAGCCGCGGUAAGACGAAGGUGGCUAGCGUUGUUCGGAAUCACUGGGCUUAAAGAGCACGUAGGCGGCCCAUCAAGCGUCUUGUGAAAUCCCUCGGCUCAACCGAGGAAUUGCUUGGCGAACUGAUGGGCUUGAGGCAGGCAGGGGCGAGUGGAACUCUUGGUGGAGCGGUGGAAUGCGUAGAUAUCAAGAGGAACGCCAGAGGCGAAGGCGACUCGCUGGGCCCGCUGAGAUUUGGUCUCGAUUUAUCGUGACCGAAUCUCGUCCUGACGCUGAGGUGCGAAAGCCAGGG